rnacentral:rRNA from 1 species
GCCCUUAGAGUUUGAUCCUGGCUCAGAGCGAACGCUGGCGGCAGGCCUAACACAUGCAAGUCGAGCGGCCGUAGCAAUACGGCAGCGGCAGACGGGAGAGUAACACGUGGGAACGCGCCCUUCGGUUCGGAAUAACUCAGGGAAACUUGGGCUAAUACCGGAUACGCCCUUACGGGGAAAGAUUUAUUGCCGAAGGAACGGCCCGCGUCCGAUUAGCUCGUUGGUGAGGUAACGGCUCACCAAGGCGACGAUCGGUAGCUGGUCUGGGAGGAUGACCAGCCUCACUGGGACUGAGACACGGCCCAGACUCCUACGGGAGGCAACAGUGGGGAAUAUUGGACAAUGGGCGCAAGCCUGAUCCAGCCAUGCCGCGUGGGUGAUGAAGGCCCUAGGGUUGUAAAGCCCUUUCAGCGGGGAAGAUAAUGACGUACCCGCAGAAGAGCCCCCGA